rnacentral:lncRNA from 10 species
CCCACCUCUGAUCUUUGCCUAGGAUCUGCUCCUGCCUGUCUCCUGGUUCUCCAGGGCACACACCCCACCCUGGGGCCGAGGCUCCACUAUCCACCUGUCCAGACUUGCCUUCCAUCCUGCGGGCCGACACGCCCAACCCAGCCAGUGCCCUGUGGUAGAAUGUCUCACUCAGGUCAGAGAGUACAGCAGGAAGAGGGGGCUUGAGGGGGCACCUUCCACCCAUCCCCAUGGCUGACACCCCUUCCGCAACUCGGGAAGGUCCCUGAAGGACCUCAGGACCCAGUUCACCAAACUCCUCAAGCUUUAUAGCUGGACCCGCCAAGGCUUCUCUCUACAGUCAGAUGUCUCUGGGCUUAGAAGAUGUACUCUGAGACUGGGGACCCAGGCCUGGACAGGCCACUGCCUUACCCAGUAGCUUCGUGCAAGUCACCUGUAUUUGAGACUCAGCUACCUGCUCUGCAGAACUGCAGUAACGGUGUGGAUCCAUUGACUUCAGAGGGUAAGAUGGCCCUGACUCUCGUGCCUGAGUUUCUAAACUGUGAGACAGUGGCUGCUCUACCAGUUAGAAAUCAGAAGUUUUAGUCUAUCCUGCUGUUCGCUUAUUCAGCAAGUAUUUGUCAACAGCUAUGGUGUGUGCCUACCCAGGCACUCAGACUCAGCCACAGUCUACAGACCUCCCGCUUCCUGACCACUUGCUCUGAAAAUCUGGGUUGUGAUCUCAAAACCUAAAGACUUCCCAAUCCCACGUCCUGACCUCCGUGUCUUGUUUGGAAUAUCGCAACCCCCAAUCCUGUACCCC